UACAGAGGUCUCAAGCGUUGUUCGGAUUCAUUGGGCGUAAAGGGCUCGUAGGCGGCCAACUAAGUCAGACGUGAAAUCCCUCGGCUUAACCGGGGAACUGCGUCUGAUACUGGAUGGCUUGAGUUUGGGAGAGGGAUGCGGAAUUCCAGGUGUAGCGGUGAAAUGCGUAGAUAUCUGGAGGAAUACCGGUGGCGAAGGCGGCAUCCUGGACCGACAUUGACGCUGAGGAGCGAAAGCUAGGGGAGCAAACGGG
rnacentral:rRNA from 1 species